rnacentral:rRNA from 1 species
UUAAAAAGCUCGUAGUUGGAUUUUGGUUAAGAGGGCGCGGUCGGCCGUUUGGUCUGUACUGCGUUGUCUUGACUUCCUGAUGAGGACAUGCUCUUGGUUAACGCUGAGACAUGGAGUCAUCGUGGUUACUUUGAAAAAAUUAGAGUGUUCAAAGCGGGCUUACGCUUGAAUAUAUUAGCAUGGAAUAACACUAUAGGACUCCUGUCCUAUCUCGUUGGUCUCGGGAUGGGAGUAAUGAUUAAGAGGAACAGUUGGGGGCAUUCGUAUUUCAUUGUCAGAGGUGAAAUUCUUGGAUUUAUGAAAGACGAACUUCUGCGAAAGCAUUUGCCAAGGAUGUUUUCAUUAAUCAAGAACGAAAGUUGGGGGCUCGAAGAUGAUUAAAUACCAUCCUAGGUCUCAACCAUAAACGAUGCCGA